AUGAAAACACAUGGAUCUUUUCAGUAAAUUAUAUUAUAGAUUUAGAACACAUAGUGGGGCAUUGGUUAUUUUUUGUGCUGAUGAUACUGUAUGAUUGUAAAUAAUUACAUUGUUAAUUGUGUAUGAAUCUUAAAUUGACAAACAGGAUGGACAAAAUCUGGCUAUUCUGCUUUUAAUAUUAAGUGUAUUUUGGUUGAGAAGUUACAUAAUGAUUCCAUCCAGAGACAAUCUAAUUGUCUAUAAAUAGUUUCCAUAAAAGGCUGACAUGGGAAUUAUUUCUGUAUACUCUAUGACACUCCUGUUGUACAUGCUAAAUCUGAAGACCUGCACAUAUGACUGGAGUAUUGUUAAAUGUUAUUCCCUUUUAUGUUGUGUAAGCCAACUAGAAUCUUGUAUUAUUUCAGGUUAUGUAUGUGCAAGAAAUUAUGUUAUGUGCAGUAACUAUUGUACAAAUAUUUGUGUGCGGACUAAAUAUUUGCUUGUGUGUCACUCAAGUACCUCUUUAUAUGAAUUCUUUUUGAAAUUGGCCAGUCUAUCAACCAGUGGGAAUGCAAGAGAAUACACAUUCAAUCUGCAAUAUGUCAGCAAGUCCUCAUCCAGCUGUUCACUGAACAGGCUACAACUGAUAUUAUAAGAUUGUGGCAAUUAUUUCAACAGUAAUGAAUGUCAUCAUUGAAUAAAAAACACCUUUGUUGUGAACAUAAUUGAAAUGCCCCGUGCUUUAAUAUGAUAAUCUUGUAUACGAGAAGGAAACUGCUGAUUAUGUGCCCUGAACGUUGAUAUAGACUGCUCGCAUAUUGAUGCUCGUGCUGCAUUGACAUACAGGAUAGAUAAAUAAUCAGUUUUCUUACAUGAAGAAAGGCCAGGUACUUUACAAUCCAUCUGAAUAACAGACACCGCAAGGACAAUAUGCAAUUCAGGUAGAUACAUCUCCAAGCUGUGGAGGUAAUUUCCUUUCACUGCCAAGAACCAUACAUGAAUUAAAACACAAUACUGUUAAUACGAACUAUCAAUGUGGAUCCACGGUUACCAGUCCAGCCCUCAUGGAUUCAUAGACAGCAAAGCCAUCGGCCAAGUUGACCAGCUAAGCCACACUCAAGCCCCUGACCGGCUGUUACAGACUCAUGUGACUCACGAAAUGGCAGUGGACACCAAACCAGACUAAAAGACCAAACAUGCACCGUCAGCUCCUGUCCCAACCCAUGUCCCCAAAGUGAAAUCUGAUCAGGAAACGCAUAAGGUUUUAAUCCUAGAUGAACAUAGUAAAUCUGACAAUCAUCGGGGAUACUUGGCGAUGCUCUAUUUCCGGACAGCACUAGUCCUCACAUCCAGGACCCUGAUAGAGCAAGCGCGACAAACCGCAGAGCACUUCAACAACAACAAUCACCUCAGCAGGGUUUGCAACAUGACAAUGGAGGAAACUGAGUGCAACAAUCUCCUGAAAUUGCUAUUGAGUCAAUGAUGAUGCUUAGGGUGACAUCCACAGAGGCGAUGUUAAUACGUUUGAUUGAAUCGAAAGCCAAAGGCUGAUUGAAACGCUCCCGAGCCCGUUUCCAGGAUAUAAUCCAGAUUUACAGGAUAUAAUCCAGAUUGACAAAGUUAUACAAUCGAAGAUCGGUUUCCCAGAACAGCAGACUCUCUUAACAGCUGAACGACUGGAAACUCUGUCAAGCACUGGACAGACAUAAGCUGCAGUGGACUCUUGAGUGUGGACUUCAGGACAAACGAGGCGCCUUACACUCACCAGUGGGGUCACCAGGUUCCCUCACUCUAAAACGGUCCCAACAUCUCAACAGAUCACUUGCAUUCCCAUAAAACAACGCUGGGCUAAUGAACAUUGCAACAACGCCAAAAUAAAGGGUACUCCAGGCCCAAUGUCACCGCGGUACCAAUCCGGGCUCCUACAGCCGCCAUCCAGGUUGAGCAUUGUGGGUCCCAGCAGAAGGAUAAUUAUGCCCAUGGGCUCGCAACUAUCCACGGACUUCUCACAGCAGCAGUGGAACAACAUGGUGGCCAAGCAAGAGGCACCCCAAUAAAACAAUCGCCACAGAUCAUUGUCUGGUGACAAUCAGCAACCCACGGUAUCCUAGCAACCAGGCCAUGUUCGCACAGCAACAAUAACAUCAGCAGCAGCAAGACUCGGUUCAGCCAUCUUCAAUGCUUGGACAGCAACCUAAUUGCAGCAGUUUAUAAAGACGCCAGCUCAAGCCCAUUUGGUUCCCAGGGCCUUUGAUGUGACCCUCUUCACAUCUAUCCCAGCGCCAUGUGUUGCCCUGGUCUACAGCACCUUAUCUAUGGCAACACUAUUCGCUACAGAAUCCGUGAUGUCAACCCAGUACCCAUUUUGGGGUAUAGCAAUGUGCCCCUAGAUACAAACAUCGUCACAGAUCUCUCUCCAAUCGCUUGAAGCUUUACACAUCACCAAACUGCUUCAUAUUUAGCUACCAGCAGUAUCCAUGCAACAGUAUCCAUGCAACAAACCCAUUAUUGCCCAGCAACAGCUUCAUCAGCAGCAGUGGUCAGGUCAGCCGUCAACCAUGUUUGGGCAGCCUAGGCGCAGUAGUUUGCUGAAACGUCAGCUCAGCAUGGAUAUUUUUUUAACUAAUAUUUUGUUAUGGAGUUAAGGAUGAACAUUGUAAUUUUAAAUGUUGUUUCUUCUUAAUAAUUGUUAUUUUAGAAAGAUAUUUUUCAUUUUGGGUGAAAGGUGAUAUUGGCGGUAUUUCAUCUAAAUAUAGACUCAUAUUUAUGGCCCUCUUCGAAGAAGAGGGGGUAUAUUGCUUUGCACAUGUCAGUCGGUCGGUUUGACGGUCCGUCCUCCAGUUGGUUUCCGGAUGAUAACUCAAGAACGCCUAGGAUCAUGAAACUUCAUAGGAACAUUGAUCAUGACUGGCAGAUGACCCCUAUUGAUUUUUAGGUCAAGGUCACGGUGACCUGAAAUAGUAAAAUGGUUUCUGGAUGAUAACUCAAGAGCGCUUAUGCCUAGGAUCAUGAAACUUGAUAGGUAAAUUGAUCAGGACUCGCAGAUGAUCCCUAUUGAUUUUCAGGUCAAAGGUCAAGGUCACGGUGAACCGAAAUAGUAAAAUUAUUUCCGGAUGAUAACUCAAGAACGCUUAUGCCUAGAAUCAUGAAACUUCAUAGGUAGAUUGAUAAUGACUGGCAGAUGACUUUAUAGAUUUUCAGGUCACUAGGUCAAAGGUCACGGUGACCCGAAAUAGUAAAAUGGUUUCCGGAAGAUAACUCAAGAACGCUUAUGCUGAGGAUCAUGAAACUUCAUAGGUACAUUGAUCAUGACUCGCAGAUGACCCCUAUUGAUUUUCAUGUCACUAGUUCAAAGGUCAAGGUCAUGGUGACCCGAAAUAGUUACAUGGCUUCCGGAUGAUUUCUGAAGAACGCUUAUGCCUAGGAUCAUGAAACUUGAUAGGUAGAUUGAUCAUGACUCGCAGAUGACCCCUAUUGAUAUUCAGGUCACUAGGUCAAAGGUCAAGAUCACAGUGACAAAAAACAUAUGCACACAAUGGCUGUCACUACAAUGGAGAGCCCAUAUGGGGGGCAUGCAUGUUUUACAAACAGCCCUUGUUAACCAAUAAAUCACUCUCUUUAUUCAUUUAAGAAACAACAAUAUAUUGAUACAGGUACUUUGAAAGCAAUACAUAAAGGCAAGAAUUAUAAAGCAUUAUAACUAAUGAAAUAAGUAAUGCAACAUUAAAAAUAAGAAUUUUGUAAAAAAAAUAAACUUAUUAUGAAAAAAGUGCAUUGUGAAACAAAACUUACUAGUCUAAUUAAUGUAUUUAAAUUUGCUAGUAUGUAUUUGUGAACACUUUAACAAAUAUGUUAUGUUGUGCAAUAUAUUAACACAUAAAUAUUUCACCUUGCCUCUCUUCUACCAAGGUUGACUCACACCGCUCAGAGCAGAUCAGCGGGCUUUCAUGUGGCAGCACAACAAAUCAAAGAGAUCCAUGCGAGGUCAGCCCUCUCAACAGUGCCAUACCCAUGACGAUGAAGUCCUCCAACUCGCCCCAGUACUCACCUUGGUGUCAGGGAAAGGUUCAAGGUCACAUGGGCUUUGGUGACCUUUGCAAGAUUGCAUGUUGGACUGGAGUGAUGAGACAUUUUCCAUUUCAAUUAAGAUUGUAUUGCAAUUAUUUUCUCUUUAAUCGAUACUAAAAAUGAUUGUUAUUACGAAAGGAAUACUUAUGCGUUCUAUUGAUAAACGUCUCCAAACAUAUUAACCUGAGAUUGAUGUUGGACCCUUGGAUAUUUCGUGUUUAUUUAGUGUUGACAUUAAUGGAGUUUUUAGACAAAACUGGAAUGUUAGCGCAUUUCAUAUCCCAUCCUAUAUCGCCAAAUUGAUGGUUUGACUUUUAGAUAUUUGGAAAUGAGGAGGUGAAAAAGAAACAAACACUGUUACAUGUCAGUUUUAAUUCACCCAAAGUAUUUUUUAUUUAACCAACAGCCCCAUGAACAUCAUGACCUUGCUUGUUCAUUGCCCUCAGACCCUUUGUUAAAAAAAACAAACAAAAUGACUAAGUGGAGUUAACAACAAUGCAUCUUCCUUUUUUUCAGACACUAAUCAACAAAAUUAAACCGGCCAAUUAGAAAAACAUCCUGUUGCAUCAGUUAGUUAUACCUCGGAAGAUCAGUUAUGAAUAAAAUUUAAACACAUGCUACUUUCUAAGAUCCUGUAUUGGUCGUGUUAUAGCCUUGCCUUCUGUUGUGAACAAUAACUAUAAUUGAAGAUCUCAUCUUGGAAUUGUGGGAUGGGUCGGAAACGAGUGGCAUAGUUUAAAAUAAAAUUGCAGAAUGACAAAGUAUACCAAGUCACGUGGCCAGCCAUAAAGUCGUGUGGCAUGUCACAUUGUGGAAUGUGACCAGCGAAUACAUUUCAUGUAGUAUGGGCAUUAUAAUGCUGUCAAUUAUUUGAUAUAUAUGUUUUUGUGUAAUGAAGUCAAAAUUGGUAAUACAAAUUAAGUGAAUGUUACUUGUUAAAAGCAGUUAUAUAAAGAAUUAUUUUAAGCCAAAAUGAAGUAAGUCUUAGUUACAUGUAUUACUUAAUAUUCUGAAUUAUUACUCGAGAUUUUGGAAAAACUUAGCAUUAAGAGUUUGCAUACGCUGACUUUAUGCUUAAGCAAAGCUGUUUAAUUAAUACUAGUAACUUGUACAAAAUGUCAUAUUUAUUGUCUUCUUUUCAUUAAAUAAAACAUAUCUCAGUAUUGUUUUAUCAGUAAUAUAGCUAGACAUGCUAGUUUUUUUAAAGAAAGAUUAAACAUUUUGACACUUCUAUUUUGAUCUUUCUGUAUUUCCGUCUGUAUACAAUACUUGUUACUUUGCUCAGAGGAGUCAGUAUUUUAUCAAGAAUCGUGUGUAGUCUCGUAAAAUUAAAAAAGCAAAAUAUUAAUUUAUUACCACAAACUUGUUUUAUCUUCGGUAAAUUGUAAAUUCUGUAUUGACAAUUGGUUUUAUUAUUAAAUAUUAGCACAAAUGUAUCAUAUUUUAAAAGCUGUAUACAUGUUCAAAACGCUGAUAAUAGGCCCGAAAAGCCUAAGUUGUCAUCAUUUAAAGAAAGAUUGUUUGAAAUGAAUAAAAUUUGAAAGGUUAUCUUAACUAAAAUUGCUAUGGUUUGUUUAAGGAUAUGAAAAGACUAUAAUUCUAUGAAAUGCUUUCAAUGAAUUAAUUUAUAAUGAUGAGAUUAUUCGUGAAUACUAACCAACGUUAUAAGUGUUAAUAGCUAAUGGUGGAUCCCAAACUUAUUACUACCAUGCUCAUAUCUAGUGUUGACGUAUGUAUUCGGACAUAAUAGUUCAUGAUACUUUGUAAACAAUGUGCAGGCUCUAAUAGACUAAUAAAAACCAGAUAUUAAUGUGCGUAAAUGAGUAUAAUAACUUGACCAAGAUAUAUAUAUAUAUAUAUAUUUAUUUAUUUAUGCUUUUGUUGAUAUAUUACAAAAUACAUACAUAGACGGUGUAAAUAAUUUAUGAUUUAUGUUUUGUUUCAAUUUGUGGAACCCCCUGUUUGGUGUUUAACGUGAAUCCUUCAGGUGCAAGACAAUAAAAAUAACACUGUUUUUGCAAAUGCUCAUAUGUAACUUGUAAGAUUGUAUAGCUAUAUCAAGACAAAAGAUAUAUUAUGUUAUAGAAACACAUUGUUUUAUACGAUACGUUUAACCUAUCCAAUUUAAAUGUAAAAAUAUACUGACAAUAUUUUUGAUAUGAAGGAGGAAAUCAAGUCGAAAAAUAUUAAUAUGUAGGAAUUUGAAAAACAAUAACAUAUCAAGGGAGAGCAAUGUGAUAUGCUUGAAAUUGUCAAUAACUGCAAUUUUAAUUCAUGCGUAUUUAUAAGUUUAGGUUCAAUUGAAUUCUCAUUUCUCCAAAAACUUGUGUGUAUUUGUUAUAACAAAAUUCAUAUUUAAUGAAAUUUGUAAGAAAUCAAUUUGAUAGAAUGACAAUAGAGUCUUGAAUUAUUUUUGUAAUUCUGACUAAUAUUAAUGCAUGGACUGCACAAUAUUUUAUUUUAUACUUGACAUAUAACUGACGCUUUAAAAGUUUUACACAAAUCUUAAAGCCAGAUUUCCCCAUGAAAUCUGAUUGUUUGUAUUCAAACUUGAUUUCAAAUCAAAUGUUUUGUUUCUGUUGUUCAACAAUUAAAUAACCUUUGUGUAUGUACAUCUUGUUUGAAUAACAUAUUGAAUUGAUAUUUACAGUGAGAAGAACACUCUUAUUUUAUUUUAUUUUUAUCAUUGUUUAGCUGAAAUAAAAUGGUAACCAUACAAGUGUACACAUUAUGAGUAUUGGGCUAUAUUGGUAUGAUUAAUUCGUUUGUUCGACCAACACCAACGUGACAAUUUGCUUUGGUAAGGCUCUGUUAUAUAAAUAAAAUUCUAUGACGACGUCUCCAAGGUCUUUAUGAAGAGCUUGUGUAACACAUCAUGAUCAAUUGCUUAUCAAUUGAUUGCAUCAUUUUGUCUGACGUGCCUCAAUAUCUUCUAAAUCGAAACAUUACUGUUAAUUUAAUUUUAAUUAUUCAUGUUUCGAUAUUUCUCUAAACUGUACAAAUAUACUUGCUAAAAUAACUAUAUCAUUAUUUUACUGUCAGUGUAAUUAAAUUGAAUAUUUUUUUAUAGUUUUUCAAUAACUGUAUUGCUUUUUUAAGACGCAAAUUAUACUAAUCAAUACCACUACUAUAUUCAGUGGUUUAUUUGUAGAGGGAUGUUCUAAUAAUGUGUAUGUAUAUAUGUACAUUUGUUGAACCAAGUUUGUUGUUCCCCUGUCCUUGAUGUACAUAGCUAUCCCUGCAGUGGAAAUAAUGUUGUAUGUUGACAAUGUGUUGAUACCAAAAUUAAAAAAAUCAUAUUCGUU